AACGGCCAUGCCAUGCUGAAUAUACCGGUUCUCGUUAGAUCACCGAAGUCAAGCAUCAUUGGGCGCGGUCAGUACUUGGGUGGGUGACCACCUGGGAACAUCGCGUGCCGUU
rnacentral:rRNA from 1 species